CGUGUAGGCGGCUUUGCAAGUCGGGUGUGAAAGCCCUCGGCUCAACUGAGGAAGUGCGCCCGAAACUGCAGAGCUCGAGUACCGGAGAGGAUGGCGGAAUUCCCCAAGUAGAGGUGAAAUUCGUAGAUAUGGGGAGGAACACCGGUGGCGAAGGCGGCCAUCUGGACGGAUACUGACGCUGAGACGCGAAAGCGUGGGGAGCAAACAGGAUUAGAUACCCUGGUAGUCCACGCCGUAAACGAUGAGAACUAGGUGUCGUGGGUGUUGACCCCCGCGGUGCCGUAGCCAACGCAUUAAGUUCUCCGCCUGGGAAGUACGGCCGCAAGGCUAAA
rnacentral:rRNA from 1 species